AUAGGACAGAGUGCAGAGGACUCUUAGGAUAGGAAAAUCACUCUGUAUUGUAGUAUAAUGGUAUAUACAUGUCAUCAUACAUUUGUCCAAAUCCAUAGAAUGUAUGACACCAAAAGUGAACCAAUCUAAGCCAUGGACUUUGGACAAUAAUGAUCUGUCAAUGUAGGUUGAUCAAUGGUAACAAAUAUACCACUUUGGUGUGCUUAAUUUUCUGACCCUAAAACUGCCCCAAGAUAUGAACUCCAAUCAAAUAAUUAAAUAGCAAAAAAGGAUCACAUAAAAUUCAGAAAUUUUUCUAUUAAAAAGCCAAUCUUGGACAUUUGGAAACAUUCAGAUGAUUUAUGUUUUCUGUUCUUUUGUGACUGCUAACUUUCUAUAAAUUCAGGCACUGUAUUUGAUUCUGACUAUAUAAGUGACCCCGCAGUUUGUUCUCCUGAACAUAUGGUAUUGAUUGUUUGAAUUUUAAACUUUCUCUCUAAACACGAUUCUAUCAUUUUGAUUAAAAAAAUCUUACCACUUAGUUUGAAGAGAUAAUGACCAUAACAGUUGUUUGUUUUCUUUUAGAAAUAGCUGUAGACUAAAUGCUAAUGUUGACUUCUGCAGCCUUGAUAUAGUCAUUAAUUACUGUUAAAGCCCAAAUGUACUGUCCAAGAUUAAGUACUAUGCACAUUUCAGUAAAGGUAGCUCCAACUUUUCUUUUAGGAACACCUAAUUAUUUGUUAUUUUAAUAGAGGCUUGUAUGAGUACUUUUCAACAUUUUAAACUAUGUUAUUCCAUUCCAAAAGUGGGUAUGAAGAAACAUCCUUCCACUGGGGACAAGAUCUAGUCUCAUUCAGUUGUUCUCUUGAAGUUAGAAUUAAUGGAGUGAAAGUAUCUCAAUCUUCCUCUAAACUUGGUGUGACAUCCAAAAAAACUUGUGUCAUGGAAGAAUACAUAGGAAAGCUAUUCCUUCUUUGCUUCAUUUCCUUUUUAUAAUUGGACCUUUGGGCAGUGAAAUAAGACAGGAUGGCUUGAUCUAUGCUUGAAAUGUGAAGAUGCUAAGGUUAUGCUAAUUUUACUUCCAAGACCCUGAUAAUUCGGUUGUACAAUUCAUCUUCUGUAGUGAGCAAUGUGGUAGAUAACCCACAUUCAGAAUUAAUUACCAUAAAUCAGAAGUAGAUUCAUUGUAUUGCUGUGAGAUCUUUCAUUUCCCAGGAGGAAAUGUCCCAUCUACAAAUGAACCCUUUACAGGUUCAAUUAUGUCUUCUCAUCUCUUUUCAUUUUUAGUCUCACACAACGUCUGUAAUUUAGUUUUUUAUAUUUUCUUUUAUACAGAAAGUAUCCAACUGCUAGGAAGUAGUCCAAUUAUCACUAGUGAUAGAACAAAUAGAAAAAUGACAGUGUUCCCCAAAACUAUAUGCUUAGUUAUAAGUCUGCAGCUGCCCUUUCCUUAUGACCAUUUGGUUCAAUUAAGUGAACAUCAUUUCAAAUUUGUUAUUGAACAAAGAAAAUAGUUAGAUUGAAGUUGAAAAAAAAUUAAAAAUGGUUUCUCUUUACCAUAAAAUGAGUCUUGACUAUGCCGAUACAAACAUCUCUCUAAUUGUACUACAUUGAUCAUAGUGAAGAUACUAGAAGUAUAUUGACCCUGUAUGACAAAUAGCCCAUACUGAAGAAUUCUGAAUACCUCAUGUUUCCUUGUUCAAUACACUUAUAUAGAGAAAAACUGAUAAGCAAGCAAUAAUUAUAAUUUCCUUUACUAUAGUCAAUCUUUUUUAAGCUUUGUGACUUUCCUAAAUAACAAAGCCUUGUGUCUGGAAAAAUUACUCAACCAUAAUACAAUCUUACUGCCAUGUCCUACCAGGUUCUUUGGAUUUUAAAAUGAAUUUAUCAUCUCUAACACGAGUUAAUCUAAACAUUGUUGUUGUUCUUACUUUUACAAGUAAUGCCCAGGAUUAGUCAGAGGAACAUAAUGUUCAAUGUAAAUAAACCCAAAAUAAUCCUUUUCUUGGAGUUGCACUCUUUCAGGUCUUACAUUAGCCUGUGGCAGAUAACUGGGGCCAUGCUUGUCCUGAAGGGUCAGCUUAACCACAGGACCAUGGUCAAUUUAAUACAGCUUAUUUAUUCUAGUUCCCCAUGAAUUUGGUUUUGAAAACAUCUUUAAAACUUUUUGAUCCUAACAUUAUUCUUGAGUCAUAAAAAGGCUCCUGCCAUGGUUAUAAGUUUUAUCUUUACCUUUCCCCUACAAUUGCCCUGGUUAUUUUGUAGUCAGAUGCGUCCAGAAUUAAUUAGCCUGAAAGGCUGAAUAAAACAAUGUUAACAUGAAGUACCCAACUUUGCUAGUCCUCUGCUCCCACCAGUGAAGAAAUGUUACAGAUCUAUUUCUCCAACAUCUUCAAUCAUUUCUCUCUGUCCACCAAUACGUUUUUCAUGAUAAAAAUUUUCUAGUGAUAUUUUUAGUCAUUCUUCAUAAAUAUAUUUUUUUCAUAUUUUAAUGUAAAAGUAAUAUUGAAAAUGCAGACAGUCCUACAAGAGAAGUACCCUGGUAUAUAAUGGAUAGCUCAUAGAUUCUUCUAACCAUUGGAUUUUGCCUCCAUUAUUAACCAGUUAUGUGAUCAAUUAACAUUAACUUUCCUGAGAUUUGAUUUCAUUUUCUAUUAAUGUGAACAAUGCUUUUAUCAAAGGACUUUUGGAGAACAUGACAGCAUGUGGUACAGAAUAAGAGCUCAGGUAUCAGUUCUUUACCUGCUUUGUUACCUUCUUUGUUACAAAAAUUAUUCAACAACAUCAAGUUAACAUAGAACACAUAUCUGUCAAAUACAGUUGCUAUUAUCCUUGGGCAGAUGAGAAAAUAAAUGUUCACUGAGAACCAU
rnacentral:lncRNA from 1 species